AUGAAUGGGGAGAUUAAAGGGUUGAAAACAUUGAUCAUGAAAGAUUAGGCCCCAACUUAUUACAUUUAAUGUUUUGCACAUGAACUUUGGUUGGUUCUUGUCGCUAUGGCAAACACAAAUACCGCAUGGGUAUUUUUUAAUCAUGUUUCUUACUUUCUCCAUAUUAUUGGAGUUUCUUGUCAGCAACAUGACAUGCUUUGAGAUGUUAGAGCUCAAAAGUUUUGGGAAGCACUUGAAAUGGGUGAAAUUGAAAGUUGAAGUUCAUUAAAUCAAGAUAUGGGAUCAGCUAGACUCGGUGAUACUCGAUGGGGUUCUCAUAUUAGGACCAUUUUGUGCUUUAUUAGCAUGUAUACCACAAUCCUUGAAGUACUCGAUACUAUUGAGAAAGAUCCUUCACAAAAAAGUGAGUGGGCAAUAAUACAUGGAUGGCUUUUGUUGGAGUCAUUUGACUUUGUUUUCAUUCUUCACUUGAUGCUUGUUAUUCUUGGCUACACAAUUGAGUUGUCUCAAUCACAUCAAAAGUGAGAUCAAGAUAUUAUUAAUGCAAUAUGACUUGUUAUGUUAGCAAAGAGUAGAAUGCGACACAUGUCUCAUGGAUGGGAAGAAUUUCUUGCAAAGGUGACAUUGCUUUGCAAUGAACAUGGCAUUCAAGUUCCUCCAUCAGAGUAUGUGCCUCAUGGAAGAUCAUUGAUAUAUUAUGAAGUACAAACAAAUGAUGAUAGUUAUAGAAGAGAAGUAUGUCUUGGUAUCAUUGAUCAAAUCAUUCAAAAGCUUCACAAUAGGUUUGAUGAAGGUAAUAUGGAGUUGCAUAUUUGCAUGUGUGCUUUGAAUCCCAUCAAUUCAUUUACUUAA
rnacentral:rRNA from 1 species